GGGUGAGUAACGCGUAUCCAACCUGCCCACCACUUGGGGAUAACCUUGCGAAAGUAAGACUAAUACCCAAUGACGUCUCUAGAAGGCAUCUGAAAGAGAUUAAAGAUUUAUCGGUGAUGGAUGGGGAUGCGUCUGAUUAGCUUGUUGGCGGGGUAACGGCCCACCAAGGCAACGAUCAGUAGGGGUUCUGAGAGGAAGGUCCCCCACAUUGGAACUGAGACACGGUCCAAACUCCUACGGGAGGCAGCAGUGAGGAAUAUUGGUCAAUGGACGAGAGUCUGAACCAGCCAAGUAGCGUGCAGGAAGACGGCCCUAUGGGUUGUAAACUGCUUUUAUAAGGGAAUAAAGUGAGUCUCGUGAGACUUUUUGCAUGUACCUUAUGAAUAAGGACCGGCUAAUUCCGUGCCAGCAGCCGCGGUAAUACGGAAGGUCCGGGCGUUAUCCGGAUUUAUUGGGUUUAAAGGGAGCGUAGGCCGGAGAUUAAGCGUGUUGUGAAAUGUAGACGCUCAACGUCUGCACAGCAGCGCGAACUGGUUUCCUUGAGUACGCACAAAGUGGGCGGAAUUCGUGGUGUAGCGGUGAAAUGCUUAGAUAUCACGAAGAACUCCGAUUGCGAAGGCAGCUCACUGGAGCGCAACUGACGCUGAAGCUCGAAAGUGCGGGUAUCGAACAGGAUUAGAUACCCUGGUAGUCCGCACGGUAAACGAUGGAUGCCCGCUGUUGGUCUGAAUAGGUCAGCGGCCAAG
rnacentral:rRNA from 1 species